rnacentral:tRNA from 1 species
UGUAGCUCAGUGGCAGAGCACCUGCUUGGCAAGCAUGAGGCCCUGAGUUUGAUUCCUGGUA